AUUGAACGCUGGCGGCAGGCCUAACACAUGCAAGUCGAGCGGGGUUUUCGGACCUAGCGGCGGACGGGUGAGUAAUGCGUAGGAAGCUGCCCGAUAGAGGGGGAUACCAGUUGGAAACGACUGUUAAUACCGCAUAAUGUCUACGGACCAAAGUGUGGGACCUUCGGCCUCCGACCGAGGAUGAGCCCGCGGCGGAUUAGCUUGUUGGUGGGGUAACGGCCUACCAAGGCGACGAUCCGUAGCUGGUCUGAGAGGACGAUCAGCCACACUGGGACUGAGACACGGCCCAGACUCCUACGGGAGGCAGCAGUGGGGAAUCUUGCGCAAUGGGCGAAAGCCUGACGCAGCGACGCCGCGCGCGGGAAGAAGGCCUUCGGGUUGUAAACCGCUUUCAGGUGGGACGAAGCCACUCGGGUGAAUAGCCCAGAGGGUGACGGUACCUCCAGAAGAAGUCCCGGCUAACUACGUGCCAGCAGCCGCAGUAACAC
rnacentral:rRNA from 1 species